AAUUCAAUGGAGGCACGAAGAAAAUGCCUCACUUACCUGCUGUAGCUCUAUCAAUAGCUAAAAAGCGCUUGUUAUAAAAAAGAACAGCUGCCUAUAAGCUUCUCCUGUCAAGGAUUUGGUCAAAUUUGCUCCAGAAUUCUUAAUACAGGGUGGUCUAUAGAAAUUAGCAUAGAAGAUAAUUGUCCAAAUCGCGCACUUGUUAGCUAGGACUGCUUUCUCGACUGGACUGCUUCACCUACACUCAGCGAAGAAUAACCAAAUUGGCUGAAUUUUUCAUUAUCUGGCUCCAUAAUGUAUUGUGCUUCAAUACAUAAAAAACUAACAUCACUCUAAAGACCUUACGGCUCCUAUGUAACUGGGGGUCAAGCCUCACUUCCAUUACCAUCUCUUUCAGUGAAGGGUAUGACUGAUCCAGUACUAAGUCUACCAUUGACAAGAGCACAAGCUCAAGAUAUCAUAUGUGUUGCUUCACUAAGACAUACACCAUAUGGAGGUGGCUCUCCAGCGACACCGGGAAGAGGAGAGCCUGGAGAGGAUGCUACUGUGUCCACACAUUGUUAUCAAUUGGAUGCUGAUCUGAAGUUCACUAUCAAAAAUCCAAAAUGGUCUAAGUCUUUACAAAAAA